CAGCAGCCGCGGGAAUACGUAGGUGGCAAGCGUUGUCCGGAAUUAUUGGGCGUAAAGGGCUCGCAGGCGGUUUCUUAAGUCUGAUGUGAAAGCCCCCGGCUCAACCGGGGAGGGUCAUUGGAAACUGGGAAACUUGAGUGCAGAAGAGGAGAGUGGAAUUCCACGUGUAGCGGUGAAAUGCGUAGAGAUGUGGAGGAACACCAGUGGCGAAGGCGACUCUCUGGUCUGUAACUGACGCUGAGGAGCGAAAGCGUGGGGAGCGAACAGGAUUAGAGACCCGGGUAGUCCCUGUCUCUUAUGC
rnacentral:rRNA from 1 species